rnacentral:rRNA from 1 species
GACGAACGCUGGCGGCGUGCCUAACACAUGCAAGUCGAACGCUGAAGCUCAGCUUUUGUUGGGUGGAUGAGUGGCGAACGGGUGAGUAACACGUGAGUAACCUGCCCCCUUCUUUGUGAUAACGCCCGGAAACGAGGGCUAUUACAGGAGAUACACUGGUCUUCGCAUUGGGGCUGUUGUAAAAGGUGGUUCUGGUGUGGGAUGGGCUCGCUGCCUAUCAGCUUGUUGGUGGGGUAAUGGCCUAACAAUGCUUUGACGGGUAGCCGGGCUGAGAGGGUGAACGGUAACAUAGGGACGGAGAUAAGGCCCAGGCGAGUAAGGGAGGCAGAAGUGGGGACAAAUGGACAAUGGGCGAAAGAGUGAUGCCGCGACGCCGCGUGAGGGAUGGAGGCCUUAGGGUUGUGAAACUCUUUAGGAAAUGGUGAAGAUGCAACAAUGGUUGUGGUGACGGUAGUGAGUAAAGAAGCGCCGGCUAACUACGUG